rnacentral:rRNA from 1 species
UCCCCUAGUAACUGCGAGUGAAGCGGGAAAAGCUCAAAUUUAAAAUCUGGCAGUCUUUGGCUGUCCGAGUUGUAAUCUAGAGAAGUAUUAUCCGCGCUGGACCGUGUACAAGUCUCCUGGAAUGGAGCGUCAUAGAGGGUGAGAAUCCCGUCUUUGACACGGACUGCCAGGGCUUUGUGAUAUGCUCUCAAAGAGUCGAGUUGUUUGGGAAUGCAGCUCAAAAUGGGUGGUAAAUUCCAUCUAAAGCUAAAUAUUGGCGAGAGACCGAUAGCGAACAAGUACCGUGAGGGAAAGAUGAAAAGAACUUUGGAAAGAGAGUUAAACAGUACGUGAAAUUGCUGAAAGGGAAACGCUUGAAGUAAGUCGCGUUGGCCAGGGAUCAACCUUGCUUUUUUGCUUGGCUUACUUUCUGGUCGAUGGGUCAGCAUCAAUUUUGACCGGUGGAAAAAGUUCAAAGGAAUGUGGCAUCUUCGGAUGUGUUAUAGCCUUUGUUCACAUACAUUGGUUGGGAUUGAGGAACUCAGCACGCCGCAAGGCCGGGUUUUUAACCACGUACGUGCUUAGGAUGCUGGCAUAAUGGCUUUAAUCGACCCGUCUUGAAACACGGACCAAGGAGUCUAACAUGCCUGCGAGUAUUUGGGUGAAAAACCCGAGUGCGUAAUGAAAGUGAAAGUUGAGAUCCCUGUCGUGGGGAGCAUUGACGCCCGGAUCUGACCUUUUGUGACGAUUCUGCGGUAGAGCAUGUAUGUUGGGACCCGAAAGAUGGUGAACUAUGCCUGAAUAGGGUGAAGCCAGAGGAAACUCUGGUGGAGGCUCGUAGCGAUUCUGACGUGCAAAUCGAUCGUCAAAUUUGGGUAUAGGGGCGAAA